rnacentral:pre_miRNA from 1 species
ACAACAUUCGGACCGUCGGUCUACCGAGCAAUAUCACCCGCUCGGUGAAAGAUACCUUUGUCGU